UUCUAACAAAGCCACUAGCGUACCUACCUAUUUGUUCUCUCAGACUUCAACAACCAAGACGUUCUUGUUCAAUGCAAACAAGAUGGCAGCCAGUGCAUUAUGAUCCAGCCACAUCAAACAGCACAAGCAAUGGCAGUGAAGAUGCUGUCUUCAGGUGAAGCGAGGUGAACAUCAACUUUGAAAAUACACAACCUAUAAAUCCUUUGGCCUUUGAACUGGAUUGUACAUCUCAUCAUAAUCACGCAGUUCCCUGGAUGGAUGAGAAAUUACUUGCAGUGUUGUUGUUUUUUCUAAAAAGAGCAAGAGAAAAGGGUCCACAGCUGAGCCCUGAUCUUGAAAACCUGCCCCAAAUCUGAUCCUCCCUCUGAGUGUGAUUAAAGGAUGCAGUGUGGAGCUUCACAAUGUCCCAUUUGGAGAGACUGUUCCAAAGAGUGAACCAUCUGAAUAGAUAAAAGUCCCCCCAUAAAGAACCAUCUGUGCCCCUUAGUUGAGUCUCUUUUGAAUUAUGAAUGUAGUUGUUGGUUUCUUGAAUUUUGAAUAAAUCUGCCUCUGUGCCCUUGGA